UAUAGCGCUAAGGACCCUGAAAGUGAAAAUGACUAUAAACAAAAGUGAAACAGACAUCAUUGAUUUUUCGUUGUUCAAGGUGAGGGACAAGCAAAUUGGGUUUUUAAAAUCCUUUCACUUUUAAUACUAUAAGGGCUUGUUAGUAAGGUAGGUAAAUAAAUGUGUGACUUUUAAGUGGACAGUGUGCCUUUAAAGUGAUUAUAAAUCAUUACAAGUCCAAUACUGUUUCCCAGCAGUUACAGCAUAUGUUCUUAUUGCAUUAACUUCUCUAAUCAAAAUAGUUGAGGAGGAAUGGAAAGAGAAUGCAGAAUGGAAAGAGAAAAUGGAUCAACCAUUAAACUAGGACUGAAGUGGGAGGACUUGUUAGUACUGGACCGUUGUAAGCCAGCUCUAAGGCAUGUUGCCCCAGUGCUUAACAGAGGCUUCUCUCAACAUGACAGGGUUGUGUAAUUUCACAGGUGGAUGAGAAAACCCGGAAUUAAAGAUCAUCCUUCUGGAACAAGUCAUGAGGCUACCUUGGAGAGCAGGUCAAUUAGGAAAGUAGCUUCACCAACACAGAGAAGGGUGUUCGUUUUUUACAUCUGGUUCAAGUGCAUCUGGGCAAAAAGCACAAGAGUGUGUUUGAAAACAACUUGCGGACGGAAGAGAAAAUGAGAAAGGUAGUCUGCUGUAUGUUUAAAGGGGCAGCACUGAACCAGUCCAAAGAUUUUUUUAUAUUGUAUCGGUGUGUUUGAGUGGCAGGCAGUGUU